UACGAAGGGAGCUAGCGUUGUUCGGAAUUACUGGGCGUAAAGGGUGCGUAGGCGGUUCUAUAAGUCAGGUGUGAAAGCCCUGGGCUCAACCCAGGAACUGCGCUUGAUACUGUUGAACUUGAAUUCGGGAGAGGUGAGUGGAAUUCCCAGUGUAGAGGUAAAAUUCGUAGAUAUUGGGAAGAACACCGGUGGCGAAGGCGGCUCACUGGACCGACAUUGACGCUGAGGCACGAAAGCGUGGGGAGCAAACAGG
rnacentral:rRNA from 1 species